UGUCUCACAAACCCAUUCAACCCAUCUGAUCCGACUGAAGUGAGUGGAGGAGGAAGUCUUGAACAGGGUUGACGUGGGACUGGUUUAGCGUUGUUCAGAGAUGUCUUUUGUCACAUUGUCCUUAUAAGGAGUGCUUUUGUGUUGCGUAACACUGGCUGACUGUUUCGUGGUGUGACUGCAUGACAAUAUUUGGACACAUUUCCAAUCUUCCAACAGGCUAAUGUAACCGUCAGCUUCCUGGAAGCAGAAUGGAUUUGUGUUUUUUGCAACCAUAGUGUCAAUAGUCACCCAACGACAAUCACACUGUUUACAAUAUUUAUGACAUUUUAUAUCGCUAUUAUUGUUAAGCUAUCAGUGAUGUCACUCAUAUGUUUGUGAAGGGACUUUUGCUUUGCCACCACCUAGUCAUUUUGCUAGCACCUGAUUUCCAAAUUAGGCCAAUGGGAGGAGCUAACAAUAGCCACCUGUCAAUCACCUCAGCUGUUUGGAGUGAGGGUUGACGUGGUUACAAACUGAGGGGGGUUGGACCAACAUACCGGCCAGAUACGUCGCCAGCUGGCAGCAAGCACUAAGUAGCUUGCCCUUGAGCUGACAAGCAGCCUCCUUAACAAUUGAACUUAGCUUUACAAUUCUAGCCAAGCCAAUCCCAGCGAGGCGUUUUCCUACGCGCUGGGCUCUUACUGGUCAGUCGCCGUGGGAACGCCGCCCUGAUGCGAGCACCGACGUGAUUGGCUGGAGUGGAAUGCAUGUGCGCUUCACGGAAGAACAAGACGGUGCCUUGUUGACUCAAAGUUCUGUCUACUAGCUAAAAGAGACCUCAUCUAAUUUAUUCACAACUGCAGCUGCUUGUGUGAGGAAGUUGUCUCUGAGUGUCAGGCCGGUCGCAGCGAGCCCCAGAGGUGUGAUAACAACAGGAUGCUGAGAGCUUCCUCUCCCCAGGGUCGUCUGCGGGCCCCGGGCCCCCAGAGGGCCGUUAAGGGCCCCAGGGGGGUGCUGAGCAAAGUGUACUAUUUAAUUUCCCCUUUUUUAAAAAUGAUUUUUAUUUUUGAAGAUAUUUUCUAUGGUGUGUAUUAUUAUCAUCAGAUAUGUUUUAUAUUGUGCAUGCUCAGUGAAGAGUUUGGAUUUGCUGCACGUUGUAUUAAAGGCUGUUGCACCAUG
ensembl:lncRNA